rnacentral:rRNA from 1 species
UACGUAGGGUGCGAGCGUUGUCCGGAAUUAUUGGGCGUAAAGAGCUUGUAGGCGGUUUGUCGCGUCUGCCGUGAAAAUUCGAGGCUCAACCUCGAACUUGCGGUGGGUACGGGCAGACUAGAGUGUGGUAGGGGAGACUGGAAUUCCUGGUGUAGCGGUGGAAUGCGCAGAUAUCAGGAGGAACACCGGUGGCGAAGGCGGUCUCUGGGCAUUACCUGACGCUGAGGAGCGAAAGUGUGGGAGGCGAACAGG